rnacentral:rRNA from 1 species
CCUACGAGAGGCAGCAGUAGGGAAUUUUGCGCAAUGGGCGAAAGCCUGACGCAGCAACGCCGCGUGAUCGAGACGCCCUUCGGGGUGUAAAGAUCUGUCAGUGGGGACGAAACUUGACGGUACCCACAGAGGAAGCACCGGCUAACUCCGUGCCAGCAGCCGCGGUAAUACGGGGGGUGCAAGCGUUGUCCGGAAUCAUUGGGCGUAAAGAGUUCGUAGGCGGCACGUAAAGUCUGGUGUUAAAGGCAGAGGCUCAACUUCUGUACGGCACUGGAUACUUGCGAGCUAGAGUGCGGUAGAGGUAGAGGGAAUUCCUGGUGUAGCGGUGAAAUGCUUAGAUAUCAGGAGGAACAUCGGUGGCGUAAGCGCUUUACUGGGCCGUAAUUGACGCUGAGGAACGAAAGCCAGGGUAGCAAAUGGGAUUAGAUACCCUUGUAGUC